GACGAACCGUGCGAACGUUAUUCGGAAUCACUGGGCUUAAAAGCGCGUGUAGGCGGGUCGGCGCGUCGGACGCUGAAUCCCCGCUCAACCGGGAGUGGCGCCGAUACGGCCGGCCUGGAGGGACGUAGGGGGGGCUGGAACUUCCGGUGGAGCGGUGAAAUGCGUUGAGAUCGGAAGGAACGCCCGUGGCGAAAGCGAGCCCCUGGACGUCUACUGACGCUGAGAGACGAAAGCUAGGGGAGCAAAUGGG
rnacentral:rRNA from 1 species